CAUUUCAUUAGGGAAACUCGCCACACCAAGACUGACAGAAUCGUCAAGCUUCAAAGGAAACUUCAGGACAGGUAGUACGUUAUAAUAACACUCAAAGCUUUUAAAGCAUACAACAAUUAAACAUCACAUCCCGUAUAUCAAAAACUUCAACCCCCC